UCUAUAUUUCGCGUACUCUCUCACCGGUCAUGGAGGAGAGAGAGUGUGUAAAAUGAAGAGA
rnacentral:pre_miRNA from 1 species